rnacentral:rRNA from 1 species
GAUGAACGCUGGCGGCGUGCCUAAUACAUGCAAGUCGAGCGGUAAGGCCUCUCCGGAGGUACACGAGCGGCGGACGGCUGAGUAACACGUAGGAACGUACCCCAAAGUGAGGAAUAAGCACCAGAAAUGGUGUCUAAUACCGCAUGUGCUCUAAGGAGUAAAGCUUCGGCGCUUUGGGAACGGCCUGCGCAUGAUUAGCUUGUUGGUGAGGUAAAAGCUCACCAAGGCGACGAUCAUUAGCUGGUCUGAGAGGAUGAUCAGCCAGACUGGGACUGAGACACGGCCCAGACUCCUACGGGAGGCAGCAGUAGGGAAUUUUACACAAUGGGCGAAAGCCUGAUGGAGCAACGCCGCGUGCAGGAUGAAUGCCUUCGGGUUGUAAACUGCUUUCAUAUGUGACGAUUAUGACGGUAGCAUAUGAAUAAGGAUCGGCUAACUCCGUGCCAGCCGCCGCCGUAA